rnacentral:rRNA from 1 species
CACGUAGGGUGCGAGCGUUGUCCGGAAUUAUUGGGCGUAAAGAGCUCGUAGGCGGUGUGUCGCGUCGGCCGUGAAAACUUGCAGCUUAACUGUGGGCGUGCGGUCGAUACGGGCAUCACUGGAGUUCGGCAGGGGAGACUGGAAUUCCUGGUGUAGCGGUGAAAUGCGCAGAUAUCAGGAGGAACACCGGUGGCGAAGGCGGGUCUCUGGGCCGAUACUGACGCUGAGGAGCGAAAGCGUGGGGGAGCGAACAGG